CCUACGGGUGGCAGCAGUAGGGAAUCUUCCACAAUGGGCGAAAGCCUGAUGGAGCAACGCCGCGUGGGUGAAGAAGGUUUUCGGAUUGUAAACUCCUUUUGUUAGAGAAGAUAAUGACGGUAUCUAACGAAUAAGCACCGGCUAACUCCGUGCCAGCAGCCGCGGUAAUACGGAGGGUGCAAGCGUUACUCGGAAUCACUGGGCGUAAAGGGCGCGUAGGCGGGAUAGCAAGUCAGAUGUGAAAUCCUGUGGCUUAACCAUAGAAUUGCAUUUGAAACUGUUAGUCUAGAGUAUGGGAGAGGUAGGUGGAAUGCAUGGUGUAGGGGUAAAAUCCGUAGAGAUCAAGAGGAAUACUGAUUGCGAAGGCGACCUACUAGAACAUAACUGACGCUGAUGCGCGAAAGCGUGGGGAGCAAACAGGAUUAGAUACCCUUGUAGUC
rnacentral:rRNA from 1 species